CCUGUUAUUGGCUCAUGCCUAUAAUCCUAACACUUUGGGAGGCCAAGGUGGAGGAUGGCUUGAGCUCAGGGAGUUUGAGACCAGCCUAGGCAACAUAGCAUGACCUCGUCUCUACAAAAAAUUUUAAAAAUUAGCUGGGUGUGGUGGCCUGUGCCUGUAGUCCCAGCUACCUUGGAGGCUGAGGUGGGAGGGGACCGCUUAAGCCCAACAGAUUGAGGCUGCAGUGAGUCAUGAUCAAGCCACUGCACUCUAGCCUGGGCAGUAGAGCGACCCUGUCUCAAAAAAACAAAAAAACAAAAAACCUGAACUUGAUUUCAAGGAGUAAAUAACAGCAGUGCUUGCUCAUGUCUCAGUAGAUCUGUAAGAAGUUCACUUUUGAUGAGGCUUACUAAUGUGCCUUUUUCACUCCUCCUUCCACCAUUAUUAGGUAACCAAUGGUCAAGGUGAAAAUAAGAUGAAAAAUUUACCUGUGCCUGUCUAUCUCAGACCUCUGGAUGAAAAAGAUACAUCAAUGAAACUGUGGUGUGCUGUUGGAGUCAAUUUAUCUGGUGGGAAGACCAGAGAUGGUGGUUCUGUUGUUGGAGCAAGUGUAUUUUACAAGGAUGUUGCUGGUUUGGAUACAGAAGGCAGUAAACAGCGAAGUGCCUCUCAGAGUAGUUUAGAUAAGUUAGAUCAGGAACUUAAGGAACAGCAGAAGGAGUUAAAAAAUCAAGAAGAAUUAUCCAGUCUAGUUUGGAUCUGUACCAGCACUCAUUCGGCUACAAAAGUUCUUAUUAUUGAUGCUGUUCAACCUGGCAACAUCCUAGACAGUUUCACUGUUUGCAACUCUCAUGUUCUGUGCAUUGCAA
rnacentral:sRNA from 1 species